ACGACUGCUAAGACUGGAUAGGAAAUUAAGAGGCAUCUUUUAAUUUUUAGAAGACCUUUUCGAAAGGUAUGCUUAAAGAGGGGCUUGCGCCACAUUAGUUAGUUGGUAAGGUAAAAGCUUACCAAGACGAUGAUGUGUAGCUGGACUGAGAGGUCGAACAGCCACAUUGGGACUGAGACACGGCCCAAACUCCUACGGGAGGCAGCAGUAAGGAAUUUUUGGCAAUGGAGGAAACUCUGACCGAGCGACGCCGCGUGAACAAUGAAGUACUUCGGUAUGUAAAGUUCUUUUAUUGGAAAAGAAAAAAUAGUGGAAAAACUAUCUUGACAUUAUUCAAUGAAUAAGCCCCGGCUAAUUAUGUGCCAGCAGCCGCGGUAAUACAUAAGGGGCGAGCGUUAUCCGGAAUUAUUGGGCGUAAAGGGUGCGUAGGCGAUUUGAUAAGUCUAUAGUUUAAAUGCAGUGCUUAACGCUGUAGCGCUAUAGAAACUGUCUGACUAGAGCUAGAUAGAGGCAAGCGGAAUUCCAUGUGUAGCGGUAAAAUGCGUAAAUAUAUGGAGGAACACCAGAGGCGUAGGCGGCUUGCUGGGUCUUAACUGACGCUGAGGCACGAAAGCGUGGGGAGCAAACAGGAUUAGAUACCCUGGUAGUCCACGCCGUAACGAUGAGUACUAAGUGUCGGGUUUCGGCUCGGUACUGAAGUUAACACAUUAAGUACUCCGCCUGAGUAGUACGUACGCAAGUAUGAAACUUAAAGGAAUUGACGGGACCCCGCACAAGCGGUGGAUCAUGUUGUUUAAUUCGAAGAUACACGAAAAACCUUACCAGGUCUUGACAUAAUUUUGCGACAUUAUAGAAAUAUAAUGAAAGGUAUCAGAAUUACAGGUGGUGCAUGGUUGUCGUCAGCUCGUGUCGUGAGAUGUUAGGUUAAGUCCUAAAACGAGCGCAACCCUUGUCGUUAGUUGCGACCACAUAAUGGUGAGCACUUUAGCGAGACUGCCAAUGAAAAAUUGGAGGAAGGUGAGGAUUACGUCAAAUCAUCAUGCCCCUUAUGAUCUGGGCUACAAACGUGAUACAAUGGCUGUUACAAAGAGUAGCUACAACGUGAGUUUUUAGCCAAUCUCAAAAAAACAGUCUCAGUUCGGAUUGAAGUCUGCAACUCGACUUCAUGAAGUUGGAAUCGCUAGUAAUCGCGAAUCAGCAUGUCGCGGUGAAUACGUUCUCGGGGUUUGUACACACCGCCCGUCA
rnacentral:rRNA from 1 species